AUUGAACGCUGGCGGCCGGCCUAACACAUGCAAGUCGAGCGGAGCGGCGGACGGGUGACUAAUGCCUAGGAAUCUGCCUGGUAGUGGGGGAUAACGUCCGGAAACGGGAGCUAAUACCGCAGACUAUCAGAUCAGCUUAGGGCUGAUUAGCUAGUUGGUGGGGUAAAGGCCAACCAAGGCGACGAUCCGUACCUGGUCUGAGAGUAUGAGUAGUCACACUGGAACUGGGACACGGCCCAGACUCCUACGGGAGGCAGCAGUGGGGAAUAUUGGAUAAUGGGCGAAAGACUGAACCAGCCAUGCCGCGUGAGUGAAGAAGGUCGUCGGAUUGUAAAGCUCUUUUAGUUGGGAGGCGGUACCUACAGAAAAAGCACCGGCUAACUUCGUGCCAGCAGCCGCGGUAAUUC
rnacentral:rRNA from 1 species